rnacentral:lncRNA from 1 species
AACAAAUUCAACCGUGUAACCAUCUUUCUCAAAGUAAACGGGGUUUUCUUAACCAAACACUUGUAAAUACUUUUAACCUUUCUCAAAGAUCAACAAUGACUAACUUGAAAUCUUUCAGUAGCUCAAGUCACUUAUGCUACCUCAGACUCAGAUCUCUAUACAUGACAUUGGAUAUUUUAAUCUAUCACAUUGUCUUAUAGUCUCAAAACACAUUAUAAUCUACUUAAUGAAACAUCAUUGAAAAAUUGAGAACUCUCUGC